GAGUGCUCCUCACACACAAACAUAUCCAGUUUUUUUUUUUUUUUUCCUCUCUCUCUCUGAGAAACAUUCACCGCCGGUGUGGCUUCGCCGGAAAAUUCACCCACUUCCGACCGAAUAUCCAUGGUCUGGUCAGUUUCCCGGUCAUCGUCGAAGAUGUUACUCUGAAUAAUAUUCUUAAAUACUUCGUUGAGACGUAAACAACGUGCGGUGAAAGUGAAAGUUGAAUCGCAAAGCAAAAAUGUCCCAAACUUCCGCCUUCUGUUGCUUGCUGCCCUCGCCCCUUGUACACCACCGCUCGAUGCCACCGUUCUGGGAGUUCACCCUCUCCUCUCUCUUUGUCACGACAUUCUUAGGUUUUCCUAGUGGAGGUUUUGACUUUGGAUGCUCCGCCUUGCAAUGCUUUGUACCAGAAAUCCCUCUCUUUGUGUGGCUUACAUAGACGAGGUUUUAGAUGGAAAGGGAAGACAUGGCAAGAAAAUUUGCUAUUCAGUAUUGGUCAAGGCAAUUGGCAAUGUUGACCAGGAAAUAUAUUGCAUAAAGUUUCCAGGACCAGUAAUGAUAAGGGGAAGGGAAGCCUGAGAGUCAAAAUCAUGGUAUAAUUUACACCAGAGGGGAAGCUGCAGGCCAUUGACGUGAACGCGUUGGACAAUUAUUUGGAAGAAGUUCUUAAAAUGCGCAACCUUUUGGAAGAAUUUAAGAAGGAUCAUGGAAUUCGUCUACAUACAAUUUUAGGUGUUAGGGAACAUAUCUUUAUUGAAAGCAUAUCUUCUUUGGCUUGGUUCAUGUCAGUUCAAGAUAGGAACUUUGUUUCCAUUGUCUAAAGAGUUCUUGCAAGACUUUUGAAGGUUCGGUUCCACUAUGGUCAUCCAGAGCUAUUUGACAGAAUAUUCCGCAUUACCCAUGGUGGCAUAAGCAAGGCUUCCUAGGGCAUCAAUCUAAGAGAGGACAUAAGUGAGGACAUUUAUACUGGCUUCAACUCAACAUUAAGAAAUGAAAACAUAAUUCAUCAUGAGCACAUCCAAGAUGCUAAGGGUAACAAUGUUGGGUUGAAGCAAAUUUGCCUCUAUGAAGCAAAGGUGGCUUGUGGCAGUGGAGAGUAGAUGCUUAGUCGGGGGUUGUGACAUCUACAGAUUAGUUGGUUCUUUCAACUUUUUUCGAAUGUUGUCCUGCUACUUUCCUACAGUGGGGUUAUAUUUCAAUUCCAUGGUUCUCUUGCUUUCUUUGUCCACUUCUGUGGAGCCCAGCUGCUAUUGUUUCUUCUUCGUUCUGAUAAUACUUGACAAUUACUUUCAUUGAUUCUACCAAUUUUAUUGGAAAAUGAAAGCCAAUUCCUUACCUGGGGUUUUGAAAUGGCUAUUCUUUCCUUGUAUCUCUUUACUUCUUUAGUACAUUGGAUUUAUGAAUUGCUACCAAAGGCAUAUGGAGUUGGAAUGAGAUUUUAGAUUGCCUCCUGUCCACACAAUGAAAACACUUCCCAUGGAAUAACCUUUUUUUCCUCGUUUAGUGUUGUAUUCAAGGCAAACAUAAUAAUAUAUACUUUCUUUUUUUAC